ACACCUCAUGUCUCAACUUUGAAGCCUGUUAUGCAUAUCAAGGUGAAACAACACCAGGAACGAAAGAUUAACCAAAUGAACCUUAAUGCAAUUUGGAUUAGCAGAAAGCAUUGCCUGUCAACUUGAAUAAUUAAAAUAAUUAUUUUCCACUUACAAGCAUUGUAAAAGACAGAGGUAGACAAGUCACUGACAGCAGCCACUGAGCACUUGCCUCAACCUGGCUUAGAUACUAGAAUGGAAAAGUAGUAUCCAAUACAAGCACAGAAAAUGAUAGAAAGGAAGUUUAAUUAAGCUGGGAGUGCCCCAGAUUCAGCUAUUCAGCUGACAAGUUUUGGUGGAGCUCUAGUGACUGGACUGGGAUAUGCCACUUCAUAACAAGCAAAAAAAAGCUGGAUAUCUGAAAAGAUGAGAACAUGGAUCUCCAAACCCUCAAGAUAAAACUUGAAUUAUGGAAGGACUUUUCACAGAACAUCUUCCUCCACCUUGAGUUUUUAUUUGUGUGAUCCAGACUUGGUGACUGAGGCAAGCCAGCUGACUCUGCCUUAAGGAUUUCAGUGUCCACAGUCUGCUUUGCCAGCAAAUUCAUUGGAUAGCAAUCUCAGUGAGUGAGAAGAAAAGCAGCAACUGGGAGUCCUCACAUCUGUCAGCAUUUAUGAACCCACAGGAAGGUAUUUGUUAAGAGACCAAGAUGUCAAGAGGAGUCUCCUUAUACUUUCAUAUAAGGAAUUACGAUGGCAGAGCUUUUCAGUGAAGAUCUGCAUAGAGAGUGAAAAUGAACAUUUCUGUUGGAGCUCUGAUGGUAUCAAGUCAGAAGCUACUGAAAGAGUGCACACGCACUGAGUUUUGUGGCAUUGCUGUCAUUCACAAGAGUCCUAAUGUCUAUGCCAACUCCUGUUUUCUAAAGAUAUGAAGACUGGGUAACAGAACACCUCUAAUGUGAACACAGCAGUUCCUAUGUGAUUUUGUAAGACUGUAAUCUCUCACAUGCAUGGCCUAGCAGUAUUGCUGGAGCCAUCAGAACAGCAGCUGUCAACCCCUGUGCAACUGGGGUGCAUGAGGCUGAUGGCUCCAACCCUUUCUGUUGCCUUUGCACCAGAAGGCAGCAGUUGGCAGGAGGGCUGGGUGCUACUCCAGCUGUGAGAGGAAGGCUUUCACAUUCUCACAGCUCACAGCUGUGCCCUGCAAACCCUGCUUUAUGGCCUGUCUCUUUGCAGAUGCUUCUAGUCCUUCUCAUUCACUUUUUUUUUUUUUUUCCCCAAAACCAAAAUAACUUGUUCUUACCUUCAGCUUUCCCUCCACCUUCAACCACUUGUGGUUUCUCCUGUCCUCACCCACCACCCACCUGCCCUUUAUUCUCCACAUUUUUGUAGACUCACAGAAUGGUUUGGGUUGGAAGGGACCUUAGAGACCACUCAGUUCCAACUCUCUGCCACAGUCAGGGUUGCCACCCAGCAGCUCAGGCUGCCCAGGGCCCCAUCCAACCUGGCCUUGAACUCCAGGGACGGAGCAUCCACAGCUUCUCUGGGCAGCCUGUGCCACUGCCUCACUGCCCUCCAAGUAAGUUGUAUCACACCUUAUCACCACAUCCCAUCCUGCUCCUUGGUUUCAGGUCUCUGCCUUUUUUCCUUCGUGAUAGGAGUAAAAAGAAUCACAGGGGAGACAAAGCUGGAUUUCAAAUGAAACAUAUGUUCUGGAUAUGAGAUUCAUUACCAGCCCUGGUCUGUUUGUCACAAAUGAAGAACACCUCCAAAAACAGGUAUGCUAUGAAACAACCUGUCAGAUUCUUCUCUGAGCAGUACUAAUAAUCCAGUACAUAAAACCACAUAACUUAUCAGAUAACACCUUAUGAUUCUGAGGUUUUCUUUUUGGCCAAAGCUAAAAGCACAGCCAGAUCUGUCAUGAUGUUUUUAGCCAGACUGAUGAUAAACUUCUACUCAUACAUAAGGCAGUUCUUUGCUAACUAUGAUGGCUCCUUCAGUGAUCUAGUCUAUUUCAUAUGUAUAAUUAUAAUAUAUGAUAAUUAUGCAUUUCAUAUAUAUAAUAUAUGAUAAUUAUGCAUCA
ensembl:lncRNA